rnacentral:rRNA from 1 species
ACGGGGUGCAGCAGGCGCGAAAUCUUCACAAUGUGCGAAAGCACGAUGAGGGGAUCCCAAGUGCUGGCACGUAAGUGUCAGCUGUUUCUUAGUCUAAAAAACUGAGAGAGUAAGGGCUGGGUAAGACGGGUGCCAGCCGCCGCGGUAAUACCUGCAGCUCAAGUAGUGGCCGCUAUUAUUGGGCCUAAAACGUCCGUAGCCUGGUUAGUAAAUGCUUGGGUAAAUUGUGUAGCUUAACUAUACGAAUACCGAGUAGACUGCUAAACUUGGGACCGGGAGAGGCUAGAGGUACUCCUAGGGUAGAGGUGAAAUUCUGUAAUCCUAGGGGGACCACCAGUGGCGAAGGCGUCCAGCUAGAACGGGUCUGACGGUGAGGGACGAAGCCCUGGGGCGCAAACCGGAUUAGAUACCCGGGUAGUCCAGGGUGUAAACGCUGCUUGCUUGAUGUUAGUUGGGCUCCGAGCCCAACUAGUGUCGGAGAGAAGUUGUUAAGCAAGCUGCCUGGGAAGUACGUCGCAAGAC